rnacentral:lncRNA from 1 species
ACCGCCACCGCCAUGACUACCACAUGCCCCUCACAGGUGCGCCAGAACUACCACCAGGACUCAGAGGCCAACAUCAACCUCCAGAUCAACCUGGAGCUCUACCCCUCCUACGUGGGCUGAAUGCAAUGGAGUGGGCAUUACAUUUGGAAAAAAAAAAUGUGAAUCAGUCACUACUGGAACUGCACAAACUGGCCACUGACAAAAAUGACCCCCAUUUGUGUGACUUCACUGAGACACAUCACCUGAAUGAGCAGGUGAAAUCCAUCAAAGAAUUGGGUGA